UUCACCGCCGCUCUCCUCCCUUCGCCGCCCCUCUCCAGGACCGGCGGCGGGGCGACGCGUCGCCACAGCCCGUGGGUGCGACGCGACCAGCGGCCCGUGGCGGCAGCGGGGCAAGGCAAGGCGGCGCCCUGCUCCGCGAGGAUUAGCGCGAAGGCGGGAUGCGGCGUCGGGGACGGCGGGCGCGGAUCCGGCGGACGGCAGCGCCCCUCUCUCUCCCUCGCUGCUUUGUCUCUCAGAUUCGGCAGCCGCGGGAUCCGGCGGCGAGGGCGGCCGCCGCAUGCGGGAUC
rnacentral:lncRNA from 1 species